GUGUCAGCAGCCGCGGUAAUACGGAGGGUGCAAGCGUUGUUCGGAUUCACUGGGUAUAAAGGGUGCGCAGGCGGCCCGGUAAGUCAGAGGUGAAAUAUGACGGCUUAACCGUCAAACUGCCUCUGAAACUGCCAGGCUUGAGUCCGGGAGAGGAAGGUGGAAUUCCAGGUGUAGCGGUGAAAUGCGUAAAUAUCUGGAGGAACACCGGUGGCGAAGGCGGCCUUCUGGCCCGGAACUGACGCUCAGGCACGAAAGCUAGGGGAGCGAACGGGAUUAGAAACCCCCGUAGUCC
rnacentral:rRNA from 1 species